AGCAACACGAAGGAGAGACUUCAAAGCCAGUGUCUCCAGCCCUGCUCUUGAACUAAACACCCAGAAAGCUCAGCUGAUGAGCUCUGGCAUUCAUCCAGAGACAGCCCUGGCCAGCUUGAGGUCUCUCCCAGGACAGUGGAUCAUGCUCACAGUGGACAGGAAGGAAUAGGUUGGUUGGUGCAAGGGGCCAGUUUGGGUCUUUCUGCAUGACCCUGCAAUUGUGCUGGUCCUGUGAGUUUCAAGAAGAGUCAAGGGCCCCAGGCAGAGCCUACGAAUAAAGAUGGCUAAACACUCCUCGAUCUGUGAAGCCACUUGGCCACGCAGCCUCUGGUGCAGAUAGUCUCCCAGCAACAGCUGAGAGACCCCGGGGACACUUGCUAAGUUACCACGCUGUUUAUGUUGAGCCGCGUGGCCUUUGCAGCCAGGGCUGCUUGAUGCUGUUAGAACUUCUAGAGGUCUGAACCCAGGAAGGUCGCCUGGCAGGGAAACAAGGCCUGGCCUUGCAACACACUCAGAAUGCCUGGAAGCUGAUGAGCAGAGAUCAGGACUUGCCUGCUGUUUCUGAAGCACUCUGACGUGAAACCAUCGAAACAGAUGCGUCUGGAACUCUGUGUGUCUCCUCCUGGGAUUAUCCUCGCCAGGAAACAAGUAAGACAGAUGGGAUUCUAAAGUGGUGUCUGUCUCUUGCCUCCAGUCUUCAGUUCUCAGCCCCUGGGGGCAGGAGCUGCUGGCCCCAACCCACAUGGGGACCUGCUUCCUUACAACUCUUCCCUGAGGCUCUCUGCUGCAUCCUGCCUGUCCCCAGGUGCACAAUCAGACAGGAAACCACAAACACUCCUAGGAUGUUGAGGAUGAACGAAGAAGGCAGCAAGAGCAUCUCUGUGAGCUCAGGCUGGGGCUCACCAUCUCCUGCUCCACAGCUCCGGAGGCCACGCAUCUGUCAGUAAUUUUGCCUUCAUAAAUAGCUGUGCUUCCAUUUGCUUGAAAGGCUGCCUGUGUGGGUGGAUGGCCCCAGGCUUCCCAUACCCUUCACACCAAUUUCCUCCUGAAAUGGUGCAGGACACCUGAACUUUACCAAAUAAAUACAGUCUAUGUUCCUGGAGAGCCAGGAGUGGAAGGGGGACCCUGGAUCGUCUGCUCCAAAAAGCAGACCUACACCGUCCCAGGCGACUGUGUUGCCUCCUCCUCUGUCUACCCUUCCCUUCUAGGAGGCCACUAGUAUGGGAGGUCCCCUACCCCAUAGGCUGGUAGCAUGUCACAACCGUACCCUCUAUUAGCUUUGUGUCUGCCAGUAUUUUGAGAGACAUGGUGGGACUAGAGUGCCUGGGGCCAGGCUGAGAUUGUGGCUGCUACUUUUGGGUCUUCCUUGGGCCACCAGUCCUGGGACAGUGGUAAGGCAUGCCCCCACCCCCACUGGUGGCAGGAGGAAGCCAUUCAUCAUCCUGGAGAUCUGGCUGCUGGUAUGUUUAUCUGCAGGAAGGAAAUGAAGUCUUUUCAUCUCUUCCCAGCGGCGUCUGGCCCACUCACUCUCCAAUCUGUCAACCAGGGGAAUUUUAAAUAAUGUGCCGCUCUCUGUCCGUACCUGGUUUUUGUCUUCGGAGUUCUGUGUGCCUCACUCCCUGGGUGUCUCUCAUUAUUGCUGCUUCCUCCUUGAGAUAAAUUCCAUCAUACGUUU